AGAUUUUGCAUCUUUUGGAGUUUGAAAGCAUUCAGAUUCAACUCAAGUACUUUCUUUUCUUUUUUGUCUAUGAUUACAAUGAUGGACAGAGAGAAGAAGAGAGAGAGCUCCAGAAAAUAUGUGAAUGGAAUUUUAGAAUGCCCCAGUUGGGAUUAUGGGGCCUGUAUGGUGAAUAAACAUUUCAUAUUGGUAAAGAUUCUAAUUACAUUUAGAUCCCUGUAAAUUAUGUUUUUUUGAGAGUAUUGAGACCCUGUAAGUGACUACAUGAGAAAAAAAUGAAUGAAUGUAUAUGUUACCCAUUGCAAAUAAGUUGGAUUUAUUCCAGGAAAUAACAUAAUCAUAUUACAACAAAUAAAAUCACAUGACUUAUCAAGA